GUUCCGGGGCGGGCGGGAGCGCGGGCCCCGCUGCCAUGUCCGCUGCGGGCCCCGGGCCCGGCUCCGGAGCCGCCUCUCGGCCUUGAAGAGUGCCGAGGAACACACGCUUUGAAUCACUGAAGCAUUGAAAUAGUAAUACUCAUGGAAGAGCCACAAGACUUACCCGAACAACCAGUGAAAAAAGCCAAGAUGCAGGAAUCCAGGGAACAGAGCCUGAGGUAUGGGAUUUUGAAUUUGAUUUUAUUGUGGAGGAGUUCUUAGUGUCCUUUCAUCAUUAUAAAGCUUCCAUCUUAGAAGCUUGCCUGUUGUUUUAUUUUUCACAGAGCUCGGGCAAAUAUAGUCACUUUUGUGUUUAAUAUAAUUUUGAGAUAAGGUUCCAAAUAAAACAAUAAUUAACUGGCCGUUUGGUAUUAAGCUUUUAUAAUAGUGGCUAUAAAGAGUCUUAAUGGCAUCAUCAAGCCUGUUUUUCACAGAAUGUGAUGAGACUGACAGGUACUGGAUAUAGCAUUCAUUUAUUUUGGUGAGACUCACACUAUUUUAAUAACAUCUGUGCUAUGGUUCUCGAUACAACUGUGUGGAUAACUGCUCUGAGAAAUUAAACCCUCUUGAAUUGGUAGCCUCUCCUGUUUAAAGCUGUUGUGUGAUACUUCAUUUAGCUCAGUACAUGCUUUUUGCGGGUUAUUGUAUUUAGGAAUGGAUUAUUAUUAUUACUUGUAAUGAGAAUACCUAUAUUAGGAUUUAUUCUGUUCCUCUGAGUACAGUC